rnacentral:rRNA from 1 species
UCCGGUGGUGUGGGAUGGGCCCGCGUUGGAUUAGCCAGUUGGCAGGGUAACGGCCUACCAAAGCGACGAUCCAUAGCCGGCCUGAGAGGGUAGACGGCCACAUUGGGACUGAGACACGGCCCAGACUCCUACGGGAGGCAGCAGUGGGGAAUAUUGCACAAUGGGGGAAACCCUGAUGCAGCGACGCCGCGUGAAGGAAGAGGUAUUUCGGUAUGUAAACUUCUAUCAGCAGGGAAGAAAAUGACGGUACCUGAGUAAGAAGCACCGGCUAAAUAC